rnacentral:rRNA from 1 species
AUGCAAGUCGCGUGCGCGUAGCAAUAUGGCGCACGGCGCACGGGUGCGUAACACGUGGGCAAUCUGCCCUCCGAUGGGGAAUAACCCCGCGAAAGCGGGGCUAAUACCGCAUAACAUUCCUUUGGCUGCGGCCGGGGGAUUCAAAGCAGUGAUGCGUCGGAGGAGGAGCCCGCGCCCGAUUAGGUAGUUGGUGAGGUAACGGCUCACCAAGCCAAUGAUCGGUAGCUGGUCUGAGAGGAUGAUCAGCCACACUGGAACUGAGACACGGUCCAGACUCCUACGGGAGGCAGCAGUGGGGAAUCUUGCGCAAUGGGCGAAAGCCUGACGCAGCGACGCCGCGUGGGGGAUGAAGCUUCUCGGAGUGUAAACCCCUUUCGACUGGGACGAAUGCCCGCAAGGGAGUGACGGUACCAGUAGAAGAAGCCCCGGCUAACUACGUGCCAGCAGCCGCGGUAAGACGUAGGGGGCCAGCGUUGUUCGGAAUUACUGGGUGUAAAGGGUUCGUANGCGGUGUGGCAAGUUGGGAGUGAAAUCUCUGGGCUCAACUCAGAGGCUGCUUCCAAAACUGCUGUGCUU